AGCCAAAAGAAGAAGUAGUGAGUAUGAGGAAAUUAUUUUGAUGAAGAAAUAAAUAGGUGCAGUGAAAGUCUGUCCAGCAUGAAUCACAUGAUACACGUGUCGGUUUUUUCAAUGUUAAUUCCUAUUUUUGAAGCGUCAAACAAACAGUAUAUAAGCACUGAUCUUACUGCUGUUUAGCACCUUCUCACUGGAAGGCUGAAGCUAUCGGUCGGUGCUGAAAUGAAAUCUACUCUACAAAUAUUCUACAUAUUCUCCAGAAGGUCUGCAACAAAAUCUGUUCUAUCCUAUUUUUUAAUGAUGUCUUGAUGUCUUCUGUUUUUCACAGAGAUAUUAAAGAUCACCAUGAGGCUGCUGACCGUGUUUGUGUUUCUUUGUGUAAUGAUCCCUCUGAUCAUUACUGCUCAAAAAUCGGGCAGCAGUGGGGCAGAGAAUAAUCCACAAGAAGAGCAAGCUGUUGACAAGAGGAUCCUGUGGUAUUGGCGCAAAACUUAUCGUUGCGUUAAAUGGCGAUGGGUAUGGAGAAAGCGAUGGGGGAAAGACGUGAACGAAUAAUAUAUAUACGCUCACCACUGAUACCGAUUUUGUCUGGCUCUGAAAAAGAAGAUGAUUCCUGGUCUUCCAUGAAAAUGGUCCAUCAGACAGAGAAGCAAAUACUUUCAUCCAACUCCCUGAACUAUCAGUUUCCCCUUUUACAUCUUUACUUAUUUUCUUUCGCUGUAUUGCUGCAUAAAGAAUGAAGCAACAAGUGACACAAACUGGAGUCGACCGGACUGUCUCUUUUAAUAACAAAAACUAUUCAUUUCUGUUCUUAUUAUCUUCAUCAUUAAACUCUUAAGCAUUAAAUGAAAUUGGUCUCUGAGUCUUUGUCACAUGUCACCUUUUUUAUUGGUCUAAACCCAAACACCAAAUUUGUUUUUCAUCUAUCUUCGUUUUAAAAUACCUAAAUAGAAAAUAACAAGUCUGACCUGCUAAUAUCUGACUGAGCUCAAAGCAUUUACUAAGAUCCUAAACAAUAAC
ensembl:lncRNA